UACGUAGGGGGCAAGCGUUGUCCGGAUUUAUUGGGCGUAAAGAGCGUGUAGGCGGCUAGGUAGGUCCGUUGUGAAAACUCGAGGCUCAACCUCGAGACGUCGAUGGAAACCAUCUAGCUAGAGUCCGGAAGAGGAGAGUGGAAUUCCUGGUGUAGCGGUGAAAUGCGCAGAUAUCAGGAGGAGCACCGAUGGCGAAGGCAGCUCGCUGGGACGUGACUGACGCUGAGACGCGAAAGCGUGGGGAGCAAACAGG
rnacentral:rRNA from 1 species